CCUACGGGAGGCAGCAGUGAGGAAUAUUGGUCAAUGGGCGCGAGCCUGAACCAGCCAAGUCGCGUGAGGGAAGACGGUCCUAUGGAUUGUAAACCUCUUUUGUCGGGGAGCAAAAGACGCCACGCGUGGCGUUCCGAGAGUACCCGAAGAAAAAGCAUCGGCUAACUCCGUGCCAGCAGCCGCGGUAAUACGGAGGAUGCGAGCGUUAUCCGGAUUUAUUGGGUUUAAAGGGUGCGCAGGCGGAAGAUCAAGCCAGCGGUAAAAUUGAGAGGCUCAACCUCUUCGAGCCGUUGAAACUGGUUUGCUUGAGUGAGCGAGAGGUAUGCGGAAUGCGUGGUGUAGCGGUGAAAUGCAUAGAUAUCACGCAGAACUCCGAUUGCGAAGGCAGCAUACCGGCGCCCAACUGACGCUGAAGCACGAAAGCGUGGGUAUCGAACAGGAUUAGAUACCCUAGUAGUC
rnacentral:rRNA from 1 species